GGAUGAACGCUAGCGGCAGGCUUAACACAUGCAAGUCGAGGGGCAACACGGGUAGCAAUACCUGGUGGCGACCGGCGCAAGGGUGCGUAACGCGUGAGCAACAUGCCCUAUACAGGGGGAUAAUCCAGGGAAACUUGGUCUAAUAUCCCAUAGUAUUUAGAGGUGGCAUCACCACUAAAUUAAAGCUUCGGUGGUAUAGGAUUGGCUCGCGUGACAUUAGCUGGAUGGUGGGGUAACGGCUCACCAUGGCGAUGAUGUCUAGGGGUUCUGAGAGGAAGAUCCCCCACACUGGGACUGAGACACGGCCCAGACUCCUACGGGAGGCAGCAGUGAGGAAUAUUGGACAAUGGAUGGAAAUCCGAUCCAGCCAUGCCGCGUGCAGGAAGACGGCCCUAUGGGUUGUAAACUGCUUUUAUACGGGAGCAAUAAGGUCUAUGCAUAGAUUGAUGAGAGUACCGUAUGAAUAAGCAUCAGCUAACUCCGUGCCAGCAGCCGCGGUAAUACGGAGGAUGCGAGCGUUAUCCGGAUUUAUUGGGUUUAAAGGGUGCGUAGGCGGCUUUGUAAGUCAGCGGUGAAAUUUUGCAGCUUAACUGUAAAAGCGCCGUUGAUACUGUGAAGCUAGGAUUUGGUUGCUGUGGGCGGAAUGUGUGGUGUAGCGGUGAAAUGCAUAGAGAUCACACAGAAUAUCGAUUGCGAAGGCAGCUCACAAAGCCAAUAUUGACGCUGAGGCACGAAAGUGUGGGGAUCAAACAGGAUUAGAUACCCUGGUAGUCCACACUGUAAACGAUGAUAACUCGCUGUCGGCGAUAGACCGUCGGUGGCCAAGCGAAAGCGAUAAGUUAUCCACCUGGGGAGUACGACCGCAAGGUUGAAACUCAAAGGAAUUGACGGGGGCCCGCACAAGCGGAGGAACAUGUGGUUUAAUUCGAUGAUACGCGAGGAACCUUACCCGGGCUCGAACGGUGCAUGAGUAAUACAGAGAUGGAUUAGUCCUUCGGGACAUGUAUCGAGGUGCUGCAUGGUUGUCGUCAGCUCGUGCCGUGAGGUGUCGGCUUAAGUGCCAUAACGAGCGCAACCCUUGUCAUUAGUUACCAUCAGGUCAAGCUGGGGACUCUAGUGAGACUGCCACCGUAAGGUGUGAGGAAGGGGGGGAUGACGUCAAAUCAGCACGGCCCUUAUGUCCGGGGCGACACACGUGUUACAAUGGGAGGUACAGAGGGCAGCCAGUUAGUGAUAACGCGCCAAUCUCAAAAACCUUUCUCAGUUCGGAUUGGAGUCUGCAACUCGACUCCAUGAAGUUGGAUUCGCUAGUAAUCGCGCAUCAGCCAUGGCGCGGUGAAUACGUUCCCGGGCCU
rnacentral:rRNA from 1 species